AUAGCAGCACUGAGAUGAAGAAAGGACCCCUCAGUAGAAGAACAACACUUUUUAAAAAUGGAAUAUGCUCAUCUGAUUACUUGCCGGGACAGAUGAUUUUAAUGUAAGACUUUACCUUGCUUUUUCCCAGCUUGUCACUGAGAUCUCCCCAACAUCACUGACAGGUUGUAGAAGGAUGUGAUAUGAAUGGAGAAGUGAGAAGAUGACUCAAGUUUCACACAAGUGCCAGGCUAAAGAUGUUGGAGAGGUUUCCCCCUGGGCAGCAGCCACAGAUGAAGAUGGCCAGGGAUUCCGAGGUGCCCAGCUGGAAGAGCUUGCCCAAUAAGAAUGCUGUCAAGGGCAUGAUGCUGUACUGAGCCAUUAUGGCUAUUGCCACAUCUUUAGGUCUCCUGAGGUGAGUUGUGAUCUUGGCUAUCUCCAUUGUCCCAGAGACAUCAUGUUGAUGAGGAGGACCACGAUAAGGAUUACAUUCAGGGCUGUGUCUGUAGCCUGCUGUCCAAAUGCAAAGAGGGUGGUGCCACACUGGUCAGAGAGGUGCUGCUCUGCGUGCAACCUGGGCUCCACAGUUCUGGGCUAUCAAAAGCUCCCUUGGUCUUGUUCAUCUUGCUGAGGGGUUAGGAGGCCCCUACUACUGUAAGUGGCUGGGCAGGUGAGGGAAGGAUUGAUUCAGAAGUCCAAUAACAUAACAUUAAAUUAAUGCAAGCAAAACAUGAGCUCUCUUUCAGGACACCACUCUUACCCUUCAGCAGCUGUUGAAACAGAAAUCUGUGUUUAGAGCGAUCAGCUGUGAACCCCAUUCACUUUGGAAAUAUCCUGUGCAGUUUGUGUAGCUUCUGCUCUGGUCCUCCACCUCCUCCAGCAUCCACCCUCACAGUGAGACAGCUGCUGAGAGCAAGACAGAGACAGUUCAAGGUGGGUAGAGACGACAGGUAAAGACGGGCACUUCAUACAAAGGAAAAUGAACCAGAGCUCCUCUCAUCCACAUGAUACUGCUGAGGCCAAUGCUUGAAAACAUGAUGCAUCCAGGGUACUUUAUUUUUAAUGAGAUUAUAAAAUACUUAUUCUUCUGGACAUAAAUAAAUCUUUUGAUAGCAAAGUCUAGGAAGAAAUUACUCUGUGGGUGAGUAAUUUCUCUAGUAAACUCUUAGGGGCCUUCAUGUCUCUUUUCCUGAUGUGUUGUCUGACACUGUCUAGAAAUUUUUUGGUUGCAUAUAGGAAAUAAUUCUCCGAGCCUUACCAACAUUGAAAAUAUUAUUCCCUCCUUAGCACUGAGGGAAGGUUCUGCAUGGUAGGAACCUCAACUGACUUCUGCAGUGCAAGGCUGGGCUCGAUGGGCAUCCAGGCCAUCCAGGACCUGGGGUGUUCUGCACUGAGAUCCAGCUGGGGCUGCAGACAUGACACAAACUCUCCAGGCAAAGGCAAACAGGCAGCUGUCCCCCCACCCCCAGACUGGUCCCUGUGUGUGCUUUCAGUACAAGGCUGCACGGCGUGACACACUCAGUGCUCUGGUGUUCAGGGAAGCAGGGCCUGAGCAGCUGCUGCUGGGGUGGGAAGAGGGACUGGAAAGGUGGUUGAUCCUCCAGCUUCUGCAAGGGUGUCUGCUGCUCAUCCUGUCACUGCUCCCUGUCCCUGGCUUCCCUACACCUGCCAUGCUGGGGAAUGGCAUGUUGCCUGCCUUGCCCUCAGGUGUCAUGCUUCCUGAACCCUCGGCAGGUUUUGCCUUCAUUUAAGGCAUUUAUUGCCUUCAGAUUCACCUGAGCCAUCCCCUAGCUCAAGGGAGGGACUCUAGAAACAGACAGAGCCAAGCGCAUUAAACUAGAGCAAAAUGUUACCUUAGUGCCAGUGGAUGCAGCUGUGGGAAGCUUUGGCAGAUCACCCGCUGCUCCAUCCUUUCCUGGCUGAGCUUGGUGAGCAAUAGUACUCUUCAGUCCUUCUGCUUCAAGAAAAUCCCCCUGGUAAGACCCUGUCCUCUGCUUGCAGGAUCUAAAGCCUGGGUCUAAAAGAAGCCUCACAGAUAGGGAAGUUGUUGUUAAAUGAUAGUUGUACUAACAGGACUGGGGAAGGGAUUUUAACCGGGGAGGUUUGCGGCACUGUGGCUGAGCUCUAAUUCCUUUGCUGGAGGGCAUUAUGAUGCUGCAGUAGCAUGUCCAUUGCUUCUAUUCAUCUGGGAGCUCAGCAGGCUCAGCCUCUGCAGCCCUAUUGCUCUGGAAACACUGCUGGAGGCAGGCAGGAAUGUCAGAGCUGUUCUCCGUGUUCCUCCCCACUUGCUCUUGCUUUGGUUGGGAACUUUGUUUUCCAGGCAGGCAGCCAGGCCGGAAAAGCACCACCAACAGCUCAGGAGGCUAGCACAGGCAUCCCUCAUCGGGGGAAAGGAGCAGUGCCUGCGGCUCCCAGUGGCUCUGCACAUCCAUGCCCAUGGCUUCUCCCUUCUUUGUGAGCACCACACUGCCAUUCUUGGGGACAAGGGUGCCUUCAGCAAGUCACAGAUGGUGCCUUGAGCCCCCUGUGUCACUGUGGUGACAGAGUAGUGCCUGGGCUCAUUGCUGGGCCCUGACCGAGCAGGUGGGGCGAGGUGGCCUGCAGCACUGCGUGCAUUUCGAUUUUCUGCGGGCAUCUGCAAGACUGCCAGGCACAAGCAGGGGCUGCCCAAGCAGCACACAGGCAAGUUCCAUAAGAAUCGAGAGAAAGUGCAGGAGCAAAGCUCACAGCAAUUCCUUAUCUCUUUCUAUCCCUCUCUUCAGGAUUUUUUCCCCCUGUGAAUCCCUAGCCUUCCUAAAGAGAUGCUUGUUUUUCACUGUGUUUGCCUUUCAGCUGUGUGCUGAAUUUUGUAAGAAAUGCAAAAAAAGUCAAGACAAGCAAUUAAGUGGUUAUAAAUUGUCACUGCCUUGGCAGCACCCCCUCUUCCCCUAAACUCAGUGUAGCUCAGGUUUUUAAAACGACAGUGUUCUGACACUCUCAUCCUUUGUCUUUGCAGGGCUGUAGAAGAAUGUUUCAAUGACUCUAAUAAUUAAAAAAAUGCCUGCUAGUUGUUCAUUGUUCAAGCAUUCCUGCUGGUUCCCUGUAGUUAAUGGAGAAAACACCACAGGAGCCAAGGAAGAGACUGGUUGAGGAAAGCAGAAUAAAUUAGGGUCGUUAUUUCACACUGGUUUAUGCUUGGACAUCCAGUUAUUUGACAUGGGCACCAGAGCUGGGAGUUUGCAUUCAAGAGCCAAAGAGCUGCAUCUCGGCUGUAAAGCUGCUGCUCCCUGCGGUGGGACCUGGGAAAGGGGAUGGCUGAAGGGAUGGUUGGAGGAAGGAGCAUGCUCUCAUGCCGGAGGGCAGCGGGCCCGGGUGUUGCAUGGGAUCGCUGCUGAUCUCGUGCCCAAGUCAUCUGCCUCGGUUCAGAGGAUGCUUUUGCCUUGCAGAAGCUGUCUCUUUAAUCCUGGGGAAAGCGUGCCUUUUCCUUCCUUCCUUCGGCCACUUCCCGGAAGGGCUGAGUUCCUAAAAGGCAAACUUGCAGCUGCUCCUGCAGCGUUGUCCGCCUUUCCCCCGGGAGCGGAGGGGCGCUGCCCGGCCUGGCCCCGGCUCGCAGGGCUCUCCUGCGCGGCUGCUGCCGCUGGAGGGCACUGGUCGCAUGCCCAGCGCCUCGGUGCUCGCCCAGGAGAGCACGCCGCCCAAAACACACCGCAGACUGCUUAGAUCGCCUUGGCGAAGUAAGAUGUUCCCAAAUUCAGAGAAUUUAACAUAACCUGAGCUCAGUCCAGUGGUUGUCCAAAGGCCCUGUUUCAGCAGAUGUGCCCGACAGGAGCAGUGGUGCUCAAUUAUGUCAGAUUUCACACUGUUGGCCCACAAUACAAGACAUGACUUUGACCUCUGGUGCCCACAUCUUGCUCAGGGUGAUAACUAUACAGAAAAUCCUGUGUUCUCUCUGGGUCACGUGAGAAGCCUCUCUCUCUUGUCAGAGCUGCUCCAGGCAGCAGAAGGUUGCCCAGUCACUUGCCUAACUUCCAGCUGUGGAUGCCGUACACCUACAAAGGGCAAUUGCACCUUGGGCUGAGGCAAGUGUGUUCUUUUGUAUCAAAGGUUAUAUUUUAAAUUAUUUCAUUUGGUAGAUUGUGCUCAAGUUCUAAUGUCAUAGCUUUAAACUGCUUCAUUAGUGACAUGAACUAGUCCUCCUUCCUAUGUAUUGAAUAUGAAGAUUUAAUACAGGAGAUGGUUAGGAAAGUGGAAAGUAAGAAAUAAGGUGUUCAAGAAUAGCCAAGGAUUAAUGAAAAAGUCCGAGACCCUUAUGCAAGCCCCUGGGGAGAACCAGGAAGUCUAUGACAAGGUAGACUCAUCACCCAUUUUUUCCCCUCCUGCUACUGCCCAAGCUCCCCUAUGAAGAGCAGCCAAAUUAACUUCAUAAGUGAGAGAAAUUUCCACAUUAAGGAGAAUGCAUGGAAACUACCACCAGAGUUACUCUUAGAAAUAAGUGCCCAGGUGGCUGUGUGGGAGACCUCUAAAAUCACGAGGAAAAACACUCUUUUUUUUGGAGAAAGAAGUAACAUGUUAAGUAAUGCAAGUGCAAAAUAGAACUAUGUUUAAAAGCAUACCUGACCUUUUAAGACCAAGCUGACCUUUUGGAGUUACAGGGCUAAUAAGGAGGAAAAUGGUGCUGCUACUGUGGAGGCUGUGGCUUUGCUUGGUUCUUGCCUGUCCCUUCAGGCAUCCUGGCAUCACUGACUGCCGUGCCUAGAAAUGACCUUGUCUCUCUUCUCUCCUACACUUGUGGUUACUCAUGGACUUUGCAGGGAAGCCAUAGACUGUGUGUAUUAGGAGGUCAGACUUCUCUCUCUCUCUCCCAAAGGUGUUAGGAUGUUCAAGAAGAUGACAUGUCAGUUUCCUUAGCAGCAAAGGACUCCUUGAGAGGUAGAAAUGGCUGCAGCAGCCACACUGCGCAUUUUUGUGAGGCUCAGGAAUGAAAUGCCAUUGACAGGAUGGUUGGAGUCACUCUAGAUCUUGCUCCCUGCUCUGUUGCUGUCAUCUGUGUGGGAAAAGCAGUGGGGAAAGCUUCCAAAGUGAUUUGAGCUUAAUAAGAGAGAAGCACAGCACAUUCUUGGUACAUAAGCAUUUUCUUCUAAGCCUUCUUCUGUUUGCAUGCACUAAAAGGCUGGUGUAAAAGGCUCCCACGGGACACUCACGGGGGCAUCCUGAGUGUUCCAGCCCAAGGGAGUACCCCAAGUGGACAUGGAGGACAGCAGGGAUUCACAAAGCAGCACCAUAGCUGAGGUGGGGCACCUGAAACCACAUCCCAAGGGAUGUUUGAAGCCUGGGUAGUCCUGGACUGCUGGCCAAGCUCGUGUGAUCCACAAUCCAUCAGUGGAGAAAUCCUAAAUAAGUAUCUGUGUGUUCAGCAGCACUUGGAUAU